CUAACCGAAGAACCUUACCCAGGCUUGACAUUGAGUGUAAGGCCGUGAAAGCGGUCCCCUCCGCAAGGAGCACGAAACAGGUGUUGCAUGGCUGUCGUCAGCUCGUGUCGUGAGAUGUUGGGUUAAGUCCCGCAACGAGCGCAACCCUCACCGUAUGUUGCCAGCGUGAAGUCGGGAACUCUUACGGAACUGCCCGUGCAAGCGGGAGGAAGGUGGGGACGACGUCAAGUCGGCAUGGCCCUUACGCCUGGGGCUUCACACAUGCUACAAUGGGCGGCACAGAGGGCAGCUAACCCGCGAGGGGGCGCGAAUCCCAAAAAGCCGUCCUCAGUUCGGAUUGCAGGCUGCAACUCGCCUGCAUGAAGCCGGAAUCGCUAGUAACCGCCGGUCAGCCAAACGGCGGUGAAUACGUUCCCGGGCCUUGUACACACCGCCCGUCAAGUCACCUGAAUUGUCUGCACCCGAAGCCGGUGGCCCAACCUCAGUUCGCUGGGGAGGGAGCCGUCUAAGGUGUGGGGAGUAAGGGGGACUAAGUCGUAACAAGGUAAGCGUAGAUGA
rnacentral:rRNA from 1 species